AACUCAGUAAACAAAGUGUCAGGGUGUGUCAGCUCUUAAAUGCAAAAAGUGACUGUAAGCUGAAGUAACUCUGCGGAUCAGGGCUACACUAUCUUGCUGCAGCUCCGCCCCAGGGCAGGUCAGGAAGGUGAGGACAAUGGCAACAAGUCAUGAUCUGGGUCAGCAACUCUGUGAUGCUUCCCGUGAUGGUCGUGUGGACGAGGUGGAGAGGCUGCUGGCUAGAGGAGCUCCUGUAGACUGGACGGACUGGUGUGGAUGGACCGCUCUCCAAUGGGCAUGCUGGAACAGUCACCCUGAUGUAGUGAAGAUACUCACACAGCAAGAUGGCAUCGAUGUCAAUGUACAGGAUACUGAUAAGGACACUGCCCUGUACUUGGCCUGCUACAAGGGACACCUGAAGUGUGUCCAGUUGCUGGUGGCAACUGGACAGUGUGACCUAGGUAAGUCUGUGUGUGUGUCAUGUAAAACUUUAAGGCCGUAUUAUCAUAGCUGAACUAACGUACAUAAGUGGUUAGGGCUAGACACAUGCAUGUACAUGUGCUUAUGUCAAACACUCAAUAUUGCUAGAAAUGUACAUGAAUAAUUAUGUUUCCUGUUCGUUUAAUAAUAUAAUUAUAUAAUAUAUAUAUACAUGUACAGACCAGGUGUAAUUCGUACAACAAUAAAUAAUGUAGUAAUUCAAAGUUCCAAUAUUUCGAGGGAGAGGGUCUGCGAGUCCAUUGUGCCCAUCACUGAGGCCGCAUUUCCACGCUGUACUGCGACUGACAGCCUUUGCAAUUCUGCACAAGUAGUUCGUAUCUUAGAGCUGACACUGAAAGAUGAAGGUGAUAUAACCACCAAAGUUGACGGUGAGAUUCAUUAUUAGGUGUACACUGAGUUGAGUGCAUGGAGGUCAUUAAUUUUACUGACUAUAGAUUAUAAUUAUA